rnacentral:rRNA from 1 species
GGGCCAUCGCUCAACGGAUAAAAGCUACCCUGGGGAUAACAGGCUUAUCUCCCCCAAGAGUCCACAUCGACGGGGAGGUUUGGCACCUCGAUGUCGGCUCAUCCCAUCCUGGGGCUGUAGUAGGUCCCAAGGGUUGGGCUGUUCGCCCAUUAAAGUGGUACGCGAGCUGGGUUCAGAACGUCGUGAGACAGUUCGGUCCCUAU